UUACAGCCAUAUCAUGUUGAAACACAGGUUCUUGUCUGAUCACUGAAGUUAAGCAACGUUGAACCGGGUCAGAACCUAGAUUAGUGAGUGCUUGGGAAUACUAGGUGUUGUAA